GACGAACGCUGGCGGCGUGCUUAACACAUGCAAGUCGAGCGGUAAGGCCCUUUCGGGGGUACGACGAGCGGCGAACGGGUGAGUAACACGUGGGUGACCUGCCCUCAGCUCUGGGAUAAGCCUGGGAAACUGGGUCUAAUACUGGAUAUGACUCCACGGUGCAUGUCGUGGGGUGGAAAGCCUUGUGCGGCUGAGGAUGGGCCCGCGGCCUAUCAGCUUGUUGGGGGGGUGAU
rnacentral:rRNA from 1 species